rnacentral:piRNA from 1 species
UGUGCGUAUCUGUCUUUUGGGACAUCUUGGU